rnacentral:lncRNA from 1 species
GGAGGCGUGGCUUGGCCGGGCCCGCCCACUUCGCGUCCGCGUCGUUCGGCUAGGGCCCCGUGGCUACCCGGUGCACGUGGACGGCGGGCUGCGUGGUUCCCGUGUCUUCACCCUUUCCCUAGUGACUGCGUUGUCGGCUUUACGUUUAUUCCUUUUUGUGGCCCGCUUUGUAAUUGGUGCAUUUUUUUCUAUGUAUUAUAA